rnacentral:rRNA from 1 species
AGCUAAUAGAUACCCCGGUAGUCCACGCCGUAAACGAUGAAUGCUAGCCGUUGGGGGUUACGUCUUCAGUGGCGCAGCUAAACGCUUUAAGUCAUUCCGCCUGGGGAGGUACGGUCGCAAGAUUAAAACUACAAAGGAAUUGACGGGGGCCCGGCACAAGCGGUGGAGCAUGUGGUUUAAUUCGACGCAACGCGCAGAACCUUACCAGCCCUUGACAUGUCCCGUACUGGGUUUCGAGAGAUGAGAUCCUUCAGUUCGGCUGGCGGGAACACAGGUGCUGCAUGGCUGUCGUCAGCUCGUGUCGUGAGACGUUGGGUUAAGUCCCGCAACGAGCGCAACCCCCGUCUUUAGUUGCCAUCAUUCAGUUGGGCACUCUAAAGAGACUGCCGGUGAUAAGCCGCGAGGAAGGUGGGGAUGACGUCAAGUCCUCAUGGCCCUUACGGGCUGGGCUACACACGUGCUACAAUGGCGGUGACAGAGGGAUGCAAAGGGGCGACCCUUGCAAAUCUCAAAAACG